rnacentral:rRNA from 1 species
UCGGGAAUCUUGCACAAUGGGCGAAAGCCUGAUGCAGCAACGCCGUGUGAGCGAGGAAGGUCUUCGGAUCGUAAAGCUCUGUUGUUGGGGACGAAGGGCGAAGGGUUAAUAGCCCCUAGCCUGACGGUACCCUUCGAGGAAGCCCCGGCUAACUACGUGCCAGCAGCCGCGGUAAUACGGAGGAGGCAAGCGUUAUCCGGAAUCAUUGGGCGUAAAGCGUUCGCAGGCGGCGAUUCAAGUCUGCUGUCAAAGCCCGCAGCUCAACUGCGGACAGGCAGUGGAAACUGAAUCGCUAGAGUGCGGCAGGGGUAGAGGGAAUUCCCGGUGUAGCGGUGAAAUGCGUAGAUAUCGGGAAGAACACCAGUGGCGAAAGCGCUCUACUGGGCCGCAACUGACGCUCAGGGACGAAAGCUAGGGGAGCGAAAGGGAUUAGAUACCCGCGUAGUCC